AGUGAACGCUGGCGGUAGGCCUGACACAUGCAAGUCGAACGGCAGCACAGUAAGAGCUUGCUCUUACGGGUGGCGAGUGGCGGACGGGUGAGGAAUACAUCGGAAUCUACUUUUUCGUGGGGGAUAACGUAGGGAAACUUACGCUAAUACCGCAUACGACCUACGGGUGAAAGCAGGGGAUCUUCGGACCUUGCGCGAUUGAAUGAGCCGAUGUCGGAUUAGCUAGUUGGCGGGGUAAAGGCCCACCAAGGCGACGAUCCGUAGCUGGUCUGAGAGGAUGAUCAGCCACACUGGAACUGAGACACGGUCCAGACUCCUACGGGAGGCAGCAGUGGGGAAUAUUGGACAAUGGGCGCAAGCCUGAUCCAACCAUACCGCGUGGGUGAAGAAGGCCUUCGGGUUGUAAAGCCCUUUUGUUGGGAAAGAAAAGCAGCAGGUUAAUACCCCGCUGUUCUGACGGUACCCAAAGAAUAAGCACCGGCUAACUUCGUG
rnacentral:rRNA from 1 species